AUUUAUUUAUUUUUUUUGUGUAUGGACAAAAAAUCCAAGAUCGAUAAUAAUCUAUUUUAGUGUGAAAUGAAAAGUUAUUUGGCAAAAAAAUUUUUCGUUAUUGCUAAAUUUCCUUGAUGAAAAUUUGAAAUCUAUUUCCUGAUCAAUGAUCCAUUAUCCAUUAUUAUUAUCAAAAAUAGUGAACACAUGGUAUGUCUUGUUACCAUUUUAAUCAUCAUCAUCAUCAUCAUCAGCAUUUUUUUUUUUGAGACAAUUAUCUCUCUAAUGAAUGAGAAUUGUAAAAUGUACAAAUCCGGUUCCAUCACCACCAUCACCAUCACCAUCAACAACAAUAAACAAUAAACAACUCACAUAUCGCGAAAUAAAGGACAUUCCGAUCCAAUCCAACAACAACUCUAUAAACACCGGAUAGUACACAAAUACAGCCAACAA